GACACCACCGACGGCCUCAACUACAACAACAUUGACAGCAGCAGCAACAACAACUCUGACAGAAACAGCGACUCCUUAUCUGUGGCCAAUGUGUGUUCGUACGGUGGUUGUAAUCCUCUAUUUAAUCAUCAUGAUCAGCAUCACUGUCACCACCUGGAUAAAAGCUCGACGAACGGAAGCGACGUACAACAGAAACAGGAAACGAUCUCUGAUCCUCCAUCAUGCAGAAACAAGAGUGGAGUCUGGUUGACAGCAUGGAGGACGUCGUCCUGCACAGCUCAGACAGUCUCUUUCUACACAGUCUGGUGUUUAUUUGCCUCAUAUCACUUCUGCUUUCAUUCAGCUGCUACGACAUUUUCAUUAAGUCAUGUAUUUUUCUCUGCGUGCCAUCUCCUCUCAUAAAGCUCUUAAGUCACAUCCUUC